rnacentral:lncRNA from 1 species
UUGUGAAGUGUAAAGUUAGAUGGUUUAUUUGAGAUAUUUCUGCUUUUUAAUUUAGGAAUUUAUUGCUAUAAACUUCCCUCAUGACUGCUUUUACUAUAUCUGUUAUGAUUAAGUGUCAGCUUGCUGUCAACUUCAUGGGUGUCAACUUGAUUGAAUUGAGGCAUGCCUAAAUGGCUGGUAAAAUCUUGUUUCUGGGUAUGUUUGUGAGGAGGAGAUUGACAUUUGAGUAUUAUUUCUGUGUCUGUUUGCCACAGGAAAUUGACAUUUGAGUCAGUGGACUGGGAGAGGAAGACCCAACCUCAGUCUGAUUGGGCACCAUCCAAUAGGCUGCCAGUAUAUCUAGAACAAGGCAGACAAAUAAGGUGUAUAUAUUCCCUUCAUCUGAACAUUGGCUGAAGUUGGUAACUGCCUCAUCUAAUACAAGGCAGCAGAAGCAAUGCUAUGGGACAUCCAAGACUGGAUUAUAAAAGACAGUACAUGUUUUUUCUCUCUCUCUCUUUCUCUUUUUCUCUCAUCCUUACUUCUAUGGCUUCAAACUUUUUUAUCGUGUUACUGACAUAUUCUAUUUUCUUAAAAAUUUUUGUUCUACAUUUCAAAGACGUAUUAAAAAUAUCUCAUUUUGGGGGGAGGGGAGAGGGAUAGCAUUUGGAGAUAUACCUAAUGUUAAAUGACGAGUUACUGGGUGCAGCACGCCAACACGGCACAUGUAUACAUAUGUGACUAACCUGCACGUUGUGCACAUCUACCCUAAAAUUUAAAGUAUAAUAAAAAAAUCUCAUUUUUAAGUUGGUCAAUGUAUAUGUUUUUACAGAAG